ensembl:lncRNA
AUGCCACGAGGGAAGCAUGGCCACGUUGCAGAUACGUGCCGUCCAGCAGACGAACGUGGCCUGUUCCUGGAACGGCGCUGUGAUGAGGCUCCUUCUCCAGCUCUGUCAUCCCUGACGCACCGCAGCUCCAGGGUCAGGCCCUGGGGACCCCGGAGGAAAUCACAGCAUGAGUGGCCCUGCUGCUACAGCCCAGCGGGAGAAAAUGCCGGAAGUCUGGACACCUUUCUGAGGACUCAGAGGUGGCACGUCCUCAGUGCUGACCCAUCCACCCAGACGCAGGUGAGAAGAAAGUUGGCUGAAGGCACGGCUGCAGGAGACAGCUCUUUCUGCCUUCCGGCCGUCCAGUGGAAAUGCCUUUUCUCUGAGACAGCCACCUGCUGAGAAUGUCUGACUUCAUCCACCACUCGGUUGUCCUCGUCUCUAACCCCCCUUGAUGUUUAACUGGAGAAGAAAUUCCCUUAAAGGACCAACAUAUUUCUGGAGGAUUACACUUGUAACCUGGAGUCCUUCAAGGACCGUAUGUCACCAAAACCAAAACAAAAGUCUUCUCCUGUGAAAACUGUGACCUCAGGAAGGAGAGGGAAGCUUAGAUCACAAAACAUUUAAAAUUAAAUUAAAAUUAAAAUUAGAUUAAUCCACCUAAUGAGAGGAUUAGUCCAUCCUCUUAUGGGUAUUGGUUACUUAGUCAUACAACGUCGUGCUGCCUCGUGCUGGCUCAACAGCACCCCGGUAAAAUCACACAAGUUCAUGCCAAGCAGCAACGAUGGCAAAGAAGUUACCGAUAGACACUGGGCUUUUGGCCCACAGUUCUGUCCGGGUGUUGGCUGUGCCGUGCUGUGUCUGGGUGGAGGGGAGGGGGC